rnacentral:tRNA from 1 species
AAACUAAGAAAAUCAAAAUAAAGCUUCUAACUUUAAUUUUAAGCGGAGUAUCACCGUUUUUAGUUUA